AUGUCGCUGCUCUCUUGCCGGCUGCUGUGGGCCACCACCUGCCUGGCCGCGCUCUGCAGUGCUAUCUGCGGAACCGAACACGACCCUAGUCCCGCUCGGGACGACUGUGGAGACCACCACCAAGAUAAACACGACCCUGGUGACAACCCCCGCACUGGUCACCACUCCGGUACCAGAAACCUGUGAAGGCCGAAACAGCUGUGCUUUCUGUACUAAUACUAGCAAUGUUAAUACUACCUGCUUUUGGAUGGAAUGUAAAGAUAAGAGCUAUUGGUCACAUAAUUCAACAGUUAGUGAUUGUCAAGUGGUGAAUGCAACACACUUUUGUUCUGCUCCUACUACCAUUCCAGCACCAACUAAUUCUACAGCUGAAAACGCAACUCUGCCUUCUUCCUCUACAACUUCCACAGUUCCUACAUCAGGUCCAACAAAUACCACUUUGACUCCAACCUCACAACCUAUUCGGAAAUCUACCUUUGAUGCAGCCAGUUUCAUUGGCGGAAUUGUCCUUGUCUUGGGCGUGCAGGCUGUAAUUUUCUUUCUGUAUAAAUUCUGCAAAUCUAAGGAACGAAAUUACCACACUCUGUAAACAGACCCUAUAAAUUAACAAGGAUUGGUGAUUCAUUCAUGUAACUCAAUGAAACCAAAAUACUAUCUUUCAAGAUGUCCCACAUGGAAGACACUAUUCCAGGAUCUUUAAAUUUGCAGAGGAUGCUUCUAAGAUACUUGGGAGCAUUGUUGCUGAAGAAAAAUAAGUUAAAUCAUUUUGUUCAACAGAAAUAUUUAAAAUA